CUGCCAGUAGUCAUACGCUCGUCUCAAAGAUUAAGCCAUGCAUGUGUAAGUGUAAAUAUCAAAGUUUGGAACUGCGAAUGGCUCAUUAUAUCAGUUAUAGUUUAUUUGGUGAAGUGUACUACUUGGAUAACCGUAGUAAUUCUAGGGCUAAUACAUGAGAAAGUCCUCUGGUGAGGUGUGUUUAUUAGAAUGAAAACCAUAUGCUUCGGCAUGAUAGUGAGUAAUAGUAACCUAUCGUAUCGCAUGCUUAAUGUAGCGAUGAGUCUUUCAAGUUUCUGCCCUAUCAGCUUUCGAUGGUAGUAUAUGGGCCUACCAUGGCAGUAACGGGUAACGAAGAAUUUGGGUUCGAUUUCGGAGAGGGAGCCUGAGAGAUGGCUACCACAUCCAAGGAAGGCAGCAGGCGCUAAAUUACCCAAUCCUGACACAGGGAGGUAGUGACAAUAAAUCAAAAAUCAAACGGUGUUUUGCAAUAUCAUUCUUACCAACGUACAAACCUUAUCGAUAAACUGUGCAUGGCAAGUCUCGUGCCAGCAACCUCGGUAAUUCCAACUCCGGGGGCAUAUAUCUUCGAAUUGCGGUUAGGACCCGUGGAAGGAAAA
rnacentral:rRNA from 1 species